rnacentral:piRNA from 1 species
AGAAGAGGAACUGUUUUACUUAGUGUUAGA